GUUGGACUGAAGAGUUUUGAGUUUAAGGGUUAGCGUCGCAUGCCUUCAAACAAACAGCUGCCCAGAUGGAAAGUUAAACUGUCAGAUCUGUUUUAUAGCUGAAAUGCUAAGCUAACAUGAAAUUAUGUUUGAAGCUGAACAAAGCAACAAAACACACAACGUCACUAAUUCUUAUUCAUUUAUUUCCUUUCUAGAGUCCAGAUUCAUUAAGUUUUCAUUUUUCUGAACUCGGAUUGAAGCGACGGCUGUUAGCUUAACUAAGGUAAUGUAGGUGAACUGGAGAGAGUGAUCACAUCAGGAACUGUGUAAGUUUGCAAAAACAAUCAGCUCUGAAUUUUAUUUUGAUGCAGACUGAUCGGCUCUCUUUUCUGUGAAACGAGAAAUAUGUGGAAUCUCCUCCUGCGGGCAGCAUGAGAGCGUUCAAAUCACUGUUCUGAUCAGGGUUUCUUGGGUUUGCUUCCUGCUGUUCAGCAGAGCAGCUUGUUUCCCUACAGUUAUUCAAGUUUCAGAUCAAUUUGGUGAUGACUGGACUUCUGAUACUGGAGGGGUAGGGACUAGCAGCUUCGGAGGUGGAGGGGAUGGUGCUGGAGGCUUUUAUGGAUCCUCAUUUCUUGGUGGCGUUCCUUGGGUUACUGCUCCUGUAGGAGGAGCCCUUUCUCUCGAUUCUCAGAGAUGGCUGCCAUC
ensembl:lncRNA